ensembl:lncRNA
CUGUUGGUACUCUUGUUCUGUACCGUGGGCUUCAUUUCACUGCAGACAUGUACCUGACGUCUCUCAGGUGAUUCUAGAUUAAUUAUAUGCCUUAUAUAGAUACUCCAUAUAUAAUGUGUUAGCCACUCAGUCGUGUCCGACUCUUUGCCACCCCAUGGAUUGUAACCCACCAGGCUCCUCUGUCCAUGGAGUUCUCCAGGCAGGAACACUGGAGUGAGUUGCUAUUUCCUCCUCCCCAUAUACAAUAAACUAUAUCUAUAAUGAGUUAUACCUAUAAUAAAUUAUAUCUAUAAUAAAUUAUAUGUGUUAUAUGCUAAUUAAUUAAAGAUCAAAUACUUUUCUUGGUUUGAAACCGCCUGUAUAUGUCUUGGAGGAACAAACUCUCUAAUAAACUCCUUUUAUUUAAUAGGACUGUAAUGCCUAGAAUUACAAUGAUGAAAACAGUGUGUGUGUUUGUGUGUAUAUGUGUUAGUUUGUGUGUGUCUGUGUGUAUCUAUGUGUUUGUGUGCCUGUGUUUCUGUGUGUCUCUUUGUGUGUAUCUGUGUGUGUGUCUAUGUGUGUGUGUGUGUCCGUGUUUGUGUGUAUCUGUGUGUGUAUGUCUGUGUGUGUGUCUGUGUUUCUGUGUGUCCGUGUUUGUGUCUGUGUGUGUGUUUAUGUGUUUGUGUUUAUGUGGUUGUGCGUGUGUUUCUGUGUGUAUGUGUGUGUCCGUGUGUGUGUGUGUCUGUGUGUUGUGUGUCUGUGUUUCUGUGUGUGUAUCUGUGUGUGUGUCUGUGUGUGUGUUUAUGUUUGUGUGUCUGUGUUUCUGUGUGUCCGUGUGCAUGUGUGUGUCCGUGUACGUGUAUCUAUGUGUGUGUCUGUGUGUGUUUAUGUGUUUGUGUGUCUGUGUUUCUGUGUGUCCGUGUUUGUAUCUGUGUGUGUGUUUAUGUGUUUGUGUGUCUCUGUUUCUGUGUGUCCGUGUAUGUGUGUGUGUUUAUGUGUGUGUGUGUUUAUGUGUGUGUGUCUGUGUUUCUGUGUGUCUCUUUGUAUCUAUGUGUGUUUCUGUGUGUUUGUGUGUCUGUGUUCAUGUUUGUGUCUGUGUGUGUAUCUGUGUGUGUGUCUAUGUGUGUGUUUAUGUGUGUGUUUGUCUGUAUUUCUGUGUGUCCGUGUUUGUGUCUGCAUGUGUGUUUAUGUGUUUGUGUGUCUGUGUUUCUGUGUGUCCGUGUGUGUGUGUAUCUAUGUGUGUGUCUGUGUGUUUGUGUGAGUUUCUGUGUGUCCGUGUUUGUGUCUGUGUGUGUAUCUGUGUGUCUGUGUGUUUGUGUGUCUGUGUUUCUGUGUGUCCGUGUGUGUGUGUGUGUGUGUGUGUGUGAGUGUGUGUGUGUGUGCGCAUGCCAUCUUUCUUUGUUCUGGACUGAAAUCCAUGGGGACAACUCUGUAGCUGAUGAGAAUUGAAUGCUCCCAGAUUGCACACAGACACCACACGUGCUACACUUUACAGACGUUUCUCUAAUACCUGACGAGUGAAGGGGUGACUCUUGUCAAACACAGAAGGAUUCAGAGUUUCCAUAACUCUCUCAUAAGGCCAGCAGAAAGUGGGGGUGUGGUCGGGAGACGGGAGAUGUGUGAACCACUGAGUCAGGGAGACAGCUGCUACCGUUUAAUUCCUGAGAAAAUAUUACCAGGCAGUAAACACCUCAUGACUGUUCCCAACACACUAGAUCCUUUGGAGACUAUGCGUCUUGAAAGGGGACCCAUUUC